rnacentral:rRNA from 1 species
GUCCAGACUCCUACGGGAGGCAGCAGUGGGGAAUAUUGCACAAUGGGGGAAACCCUGAUGCAGCAACGCCGCGUGAGUGAAGAAGUAUUUCGGUAUGUAAAGCCCUAUCAGCAGGGAAGAAGAAAUGACGGUACCUGAGUAAAAAGCACCGGCUAAAUACGUGCCAGCAGCCGCGGUAAUACGUACGGUGCAAGCGUUAUCCGGAUUUACUGGGUGUAAAGGGAGCGCAGGCGGCACGGCAAGCCUGAUGUGAAAGCCCGGGGCUCAACCCCGGGACUGCAUUUGGAACUGUGUGGCUGGAGUGUCGGAGAGGCAGGCGGAAUUCCUAGUGUAGCGGUGAAAUGCGUAGAUAUUAGGAGGAACACCAGUGGCGAAGGCGGCCUGCUGGACGAUGACUGACGUUGAGGCUCGAAAGCGUGGGGAGCAAACAGGAUUAGAUACCCUAGUAU